AUCACCUGACAUCCUGCUUUGCCUUUAGGGGAUGCUCAGCAAUUGUCUAAUGAAUGGAAAGGCGGGUCUUCCUGAAUUUCGCAAACGGCCUGCAGUAAGGGCAGAGGUACAGUCUCACAUAGGAUUUUUAAUUUUCAAAAGCUUAGUAUAAAUUUAAUUUUUCACAAAAACUUAAAAUCUUGGAUGGCUCCCAGGCUCUUCUUUAUGUAUCCGUGAAAGUGUUUGAAAAAUAGUCAGUACCUGCUGCAUGCGUACCGGUCCAAAGGGUGGACACUGUUGUCUGGACAAAGGAAGGUUCUGGAGCACAGAUUGCUGGAAUACACUCAUUGAAUGAAAACCUUGACCUUUGUGUGUCUCAAGUGAACGAACUGACGUCAGGCUGCUGACCACGUGAAAAGAGGGGGAAGAGGAAAUAAGGAUGCAGCCUCUGGGUCAGCAGGCUGUGGGAGCCAUGACCGGCCAGUCUUGAUUAAAAGCCAAGUGGACAGAAAAGUGUCUUUCAGGCCUUGGGAAAUCUGUGUAAGGCUUGGGGGCCUUAUGCUCCUUUAGAUUCUCCAAACUGUACCUCUUCCCCCAAACUGAUUUUGAAGUUUUAUUUUUCUCUUUCAAAAUUUGACAACACAUAAUCACGUUAAUACCACCGAAGUGAGAAAAAGCAGAUAUAUUUUCACAUUACAUGUUUACCUUCUGACACUGCGUUGUGCGUAGCACUGCAGUUCUUUGUGUGCAUGAGAAAUAAUACUGUGCUCUGUUCCCUGCUAGUCUAUGUUUAUCUAAAUAUCUGAUGCUGUCUCAUCACAGCUUAGCAGGUCUGGGAGGCUUGGCAAACUCUUAGGUAAACUAUGUGAUACAGCAAAUAAUUAUUCCCUUCUCCCUUUUGAGCUUAAGGAGCCAAUAAGACCUGUAAAAUGGACAAGCUCCACUGACAGAGGUCUAAUUUGGCUGAAGGCACUUGCAGGAGAGUUACUGUGAGAUCUUCAAGACAUUGUUCAGAGGCCAAAGUUACAAGCGGCUAAAGGAGGAUGACUAUAGGAAGGCACCAGCUGACUGGCUGCUACUGCUGCUGCUAAGUUGCGUCAGUCCUGUCCGGCUCUAUGAGACCCCAUAGAUGGCAGCCCACCAGGCUCCUCUGUUCCUGGGAUUCUCCAGGCAAGAAUACUGGAGUGGGCUGCCAUUUCCUUCUCCAGUGCAUGAAAGUGAAAAGUGAAG
ensembl:lncRNA